rnacentral:rRNA from 1 species
GACGAACGCUGGCGGCGUGCCUAAUACAUGCAAGUCGAACGAAGUGGGGACGGGUGAGGAACACGUGGGUAACCUACCAUCAGAGGGGAUAACACUUGGAAACAGGUGCUACACCGAUAGUGCUGGAUGGACCGUCGGUUGAUUAGCUAGUUGGGGGGGUAACUGCUCACCAAGGCCACGAUGCCUAGGCGCCCUGAGAGUGUGACCGGCCACACGGGGACGGAGACACGGCCCAGACUCCUACGGGAGGCAGCAGUGGGGAAUCUUCGGCAAUGGGCGAAAGUCUGACCGAGCAAUGCCGCGUGAGUGAAGAAGGUUUUCGGAUCGUAAAGCACUGUUGUUAGGGAGGCGUUAUCUAACCAGGAAGCCCCGGCUAACUACGUGCCAGCCGCCGCGGUAAUAC